ensembl:misc_RNA Metazoa_SRP Metazoan signal recognition particle RNA
GCUGGGCAUGGUGGUGCAUGCCUGUAGUCCCAGCUACUCAGGAGGCUGAGGUAGGAGGAUCGCUUGAGCCCAGGAAGCUGAGGCUGCAGUGAGCCGUGAUCGUGCCACUGCACUCCAGCUUGGGUGACAGAGCAAGGCCCUGUCUCAA